AUACGGAGGGUGCAAGCGUUAUUCGGAAUCACUGGGCGUAAAGGACGCGUAGGCGGGCUGGCAAGUCAGAUGUGAAAUCCUACAGCUUAACUGUAGAACUGCAUUUGAAACUGCUAACCUAGAGUAUGGGAGGGGGAGAUGGAAUUAGUGGUGUAGGGGUAAAAUCCGUAGAUAUCACUAGGAAUACCGAAAGCGAAGGCGAUCUCCUGGAACAUAACUGACGCUAAGGCGUGAAAGCGUGGGGAGCAAACAGGAUUAGAAACCCUUGUAGUCC
rnacentral:rRNA from 1 species